CGGCCGGAGCCGGGACCGCCCUCGCCUCGCUGUGCUCGCCGCCGGGGCCGCCCACUGGGAGAGGGGCACGGGACCGACCGGGCCCUUCUGUCCGCAGCCCGGCGGGAGAUGUAGUUCGUGUCUUGGAGGCGGGGAGCGCCGGAUUGCGGCCCGGGCCGCAGCUGAGGCCCUCCGCGGCCGCCUCAGCCGGGGACGGGCAAGGACGCGGCCGCGAAGGUUUUAUGCGCUCGACGCCAGCCCCAGACACGGGGUUUGGAGCGCUCUGGCCACGUUCAGCACCGACCAAACACGGAACUGCUCACAGAGUUUAGAUGCUGUUGAGUGUGAGAACCAAGCUUCAGAAACAUGGUUUCUGUGAUCCAGUUUAAGAUAUGCACAACUUGGGAGGUGACAAACUGCAGCAGCCAGGACAAAGAGCACAGAGAGGGAUUUCAUAAUUGGCUUUACCUCUGAAGAAAAUGUGAUGUGUCACUGCGACAUUUAUGUACAGCCUGAUACACAGUUCUGCACAGCCUGUUCCUGGCUGCAGAUCUUAAGGAUUUCGUCUUCCCUGCCACCACCGCCACCUAUGGCCCCACGGUUGUGCUGCCACAGCUGUUUGUAACUCUGCACUGGGAUCAAAUCAGUGCUUGCAUUAAAAGCAGCACUGGUUUUAGUAACACUUUUUUCUUAACCCAGAUGGGUUCGUUUUUCCAGUUUACUGUGUGGCCCUAUGUACUGGUGUGCUGACACAGCUGUUGGAAACAUACCUUUUUUUGGUGGCAAGGCAGGAUAUGGGGAUUCCUACUGUUUUUGCUGGCUUGCCACCAAAAAUGGGGUCUGUGUGUGAAACUGUCCCCCUCUUCCAGCUCUCCCGAAAACAAGGCCAGUUGCUGAAAUCUUGGCAAUUAAAAGGAGAAGCUAUUUCUGAGCCUUGAGGAAUGUCUGAUACCUAUAGUUAGUGCGCUGCUUCACUGUGUUGUUCUCCUCUUGCCUGGAGAACAGAACAUUUUCUUGACAUGUUUGAAAAGUAACUUAGGCCACUGCAGUUAUUCAGCUGAAAGUUGUAUUUGAUGUAUGUCCAAAACUGUAUUUUCCAAGAGAGUUCCAGUGAAUGCAGUAAUAGUAGAAAUCUUUCAAUGGGCUUUUUGUUUGGUGAAAUAAAAUGAACAGUUGUUUAUCA